rnacentral:rRNA from 2 species
GACGAACCGAGCGAACGUUGUUCGGAAUCACUGGGCUUAAAGGGCGCGUAGGCGGCCUGGUCAGUCAGGGGUGAAAUCUUUCGGCUUAACCGGAAAAGUGCCUUUGAUACUACCAGGCUUGAGGGAGAUAGGGGCGUGUGGAACUUCCAGUGGAGCGGUGAAAUGCGUUGAUAUUGGAAGGAACGCCGGUGGCGAAAGCGACACGCUGGGUCUCUUCUGACGCUGAGGCGCGAAAGCUAGGGGAGCGAACGGG